CAGACGGGCACAGUACCUGCUGCAGCUGCAUGAAGCUCGGGGCACUAUGGGUGAGAAGAGCUAGAAAUGUUGGGGCCAUCAGAGCCCAGGAGGACCAGCCGAGGGAGGAGCAGCUGACAGGUGGGCAGGUGCCCCUAGUCAGGGACAGCAGGACUCCCCAGGAAGAAGGAUCACAGCCACCCGUGGGAGAGCUGGACUCUGUUCAUCAACAGAAAAGCCGUGAGCGAUUCCGCCAACAAGGUCAGUUUUACUAGUCUGGCAGCCCCGCACCCCCGGCUUCUGUAACUCAGAAACUGGGCAGUUCUGAGUGCCCGUCCCUCAUUAGUGACUGAUGGUGGUCUGGCCGGCGGCAUCUCCUGUCUCCAGGCCCUGCUAUGUAAUUUCGGGAAUGGAUGCCCGUCUCCCCGACCUGACCUCCAGCUGUUUGGAGCUGAGGGGUGGAGAGGAAAGACUUGGGGGUGGAGAAAGGCGAGCACCACUGUGGGGCCUGUGGGGGCUGCUUUCCUCUUCUGCAGUGACCUGGACGGGCUGAGGCUGCUGUCUCACUCACGCUGCGGUGCCCACACCACAGCCCUGGUAUGCUGAUGCGUCAAAACACACCUUCACCUGUUUCACAUUCUUGAGUUUCAGCGAGGAUGCGACAGGUCUCGAGACACAUGGACGUAGGACCAUGGGGACGGGUUCUUCAAGGUCCCCAUGCACCUGCAGCCUGGGGGCGGGCUUGUCUGAAGGGCUUUCUUCCCAGUUAUGGGAAUCAAAGGCCCCGAUCUUUGAAGCUGGCCAUCAGCCUGAACGUCCACUCCUUGUUUCCUUUGCAAGGAGGAACAUUCAGAUCCAACACAGAUAAGAAUGUUGACUCCGUCUCCAGGCCGCAGGGACUGGAGGGAGGCAGGUGGUCUGGCCUCGUUUUGUGAAAGGUGGUGGCUUUGCCCUCAAUCUUCAGGCUGGACAUCAGGACCUCCCAGGGCGCGGGCCUGCUCUGUCUCUGGCCUUAGGUGUCAGGAGGUAAGGCCGCAGACGCUGACGUACUGGGAUGCCCCAAGCCCGGGAACUGGCAGCCCAGUGAGGGGGUCUCACCUGUGUCCCCUGAGCCUGGCCUGUCACUCUGUCCACGCCUCAGCUACCUGUCCCCUCCUGCAAAGGGCACCGCCUGUCGCGAGGAACUCACCUGGCUUCCUCGACAUCUCGGGGGACACACGAAAAGCCCCCGCGAGAGCAGCAGGAGCCUGCACGUGGAAGGGGCUGGCGGCCCGAGGUCCCGGGGUAACAGGAGGGCAGAGGGGCUGGGCACGGCGCAGGGUCGGGAGGAGGCCUGGAGCGCUCGCCCCGCCCGGCCCCGCCCCUGGAGCGCCGCGGCCCCGCCCCGCCGGGUUGCUAGGGGAAGUGACGUCACAGCGCGAUGGCGGCGGCUCCUUUAGGCAGCUGAAAGGGGAUUUAGGCCCGGAAGAUCCGAGUCCAUCCGCGGCGGGGAGAGGGCAAGCGGGACCGGUAGGGGCCGGAGCAGCGGCGGCGGCGCUCGGACUGUCCCAUCCGCCCCGUAUUGAGGCGCUGGGAGCGGCGGGGCGACGGGAAAGCGAUGGUGAAAGCGGGGCCGUGAGGGGGGCGGAGCCGGGAGCCGGACCCGCAGUAGCGGCAGCAGCGGCGCCGCCUCCCGGAGUUCAGACCCAGGAAGCGGCCGGGAGGGCAGGAGCGAAUCGGGCCGCCGCCGCCAUGGAGCUGAGAGUCGGGAACAGGUACCGGCUGGGCCGGAAGAUCGGCAGCGGCUCCUUCGGAGACAUCUAUCUCGGUACGGACAUUGCUGCAGGAGAAGAGGUUGCCAUCAAGCUUGAAUGUGUCAAAACCAAACACCCUCAGCUCCACAUUGAGAGCAAAAUCUACAAGAUGAUGCAGGGAGGAGUGGGCAUCCCCACCAUCAGAUGGUGCGGGGCAGAGGGGGACUACAACGUCAUGGUGAUGGAGCUGCUGGGGCCAAGCCUGGAGGACCUCUUCAACUUCUGCUCCAGGAAAUUCAGCCUCAAAACCGUCCUGCUGCUUGCUGACCAAAUGAUCAGUCGCAUCGAAUACAUUCAUUCAAAGAACUUCAUCCACCGGGAUGUGAAGCCAGACAACUUCCUCAUGGGCCUGGGGAAGAAGGGCAACCUGGUGUACAUCAUCGACUUCGGGCUGGCCAAGAAGUACCGGGACGCACGCACCCACCAGCACAUCCCCUAUCGUGAGAACAAGAACCUCACGGGGACGGCGCGGUACGCCUCCAUCAACACGCACCUUGGAAUUGAACAAUCCCGAAGAGAUGACUUGGAGUCUCUGGGCUACGUGCUAAUGUACUUCAACCUGGGCUCUCUCCCCUGGCAGGGGCUGAAGGCUGCCACCAAGAGACAGAAAUAUGAAAGGAUUAGCGAGAAGAAAAUGUCCACCCCCAUCGAAGUGUUGUGUAAAGGCUACCCUUCCGAAUUUGCCACAUACCUGAAUUUCUGCCGUUCCUUGCGUUUUGACGACAAGCCUGACUACUCGUACCUGCGGCAGCUUUUCCGGAAUCUGUUCCAUCGCCAGGGCUUCUCCUAUGACUACGUGUUCGACUGGAACAUGCUCAAAUUUGUUGCUGUCUCGGCUUAAAAUCUGACCUCCCCACCCCCGUGCAUCUGGAUAGUGCAGCACAGACCCGGCUGCCGGCUGCCGGCCGCGCCACCACACCUGCACAGGCUGUUGGAGGCCGCAGGGUCCGGACCCUGAGUGUACUCCUCGUCCGACCAAACGCUCUCAUCCCCACCCCGCUUUCCUCCCCAGCUGUCACCAUUUGGGGCCUGUCUUUGGCCUCCGAUGGUUCCUGUCCCUCUCCUCUUCCUGCACGUGUCAGUGAGCAUGUUCACAGAGGAGCAGGGGGUAGCUGCUGCCCAUUUGGAAGUUUAAGGAAGUUCUGAGCCCACAGGGAGAUGCCAUGGCGAGUGGGGUUUUUUCGAUUGUUGGGGGAGCUGAGAGGCCUGGCUCUGACCCCUUGUGGGGAUGAUGCUGGCAUCCCGUGGGGAGAAACGUGCAGCGUGUGGGGGGCUUUGCAGGCAGUCUCGUCCCAGUGCCCUUUGGUAGGUAUUUUCUCACGUGGCCGGGGCAGCCUAGGACCUAGGGUUGCUUUCUGCCAAAGUUGGUUCCAUUCCGGCCUCACCUCCUGCCUCCUCAGGGUGCCAGCCGGGCCGCCGAUGACGCCGAGCGGGAGCGCAGGGACCGAGAGGAGCGGCUGAGACACUCGCGGAACCCGGCUACCCGCGGCCUCCCUUCCACAGCCUCCGGCCGCCUGCGGGGGACGCAGGAAGUGGCUCCCCCCACACCCCUCACCCCUACCUCACACACGGCUAACACCUCCCCCCGGCCCGUCUCCGGCAUGGAGAGAGAGCGGAAAGUGAGUAUGCGGCUGCACCGCGGGGCCCCCGUCAACAUCUCCUCGUCCGACCUCACUGGCCGACAAGAUACCUCUCGCAUGUCCACCUCACAGAUUCCUGGUCGGGUGGCUUCCAGUGGUCUUCAGUCUGUCGUGCACCGAUGAGAACUCUCCUUAUUGCUGUGAAGGGCAGACAAUGCAUGGCUGAUCUACUCUGUUACCAAUGGCUUUACUAGUGACGCGUCCCCCGGUCUAGGAUCGAAAUGUUAACACCGGGAGCUCUCCAGGCCACUCACCCAGCGACGCUCAUGGGGGAAACAUACUAAACGGACAGACUCCAAGAGCUGCCACCGCUGGGGCUGCACUGCGGCCCCCCACGUGAACUCGGUUGUAACGGGGCUGGGAAGAAAAGCAGAGAGAGAAUUGCAGAGAAUCAGACUCCCUUUCCAGGGCCUCAGCUCCCUCCAGUGGUGGCCGCCCUGUACUCCCUGACGAUUUCCACUGUAACUACCAAUCUUCUACUUGGUUAAGACAGUUUUGUAUCAUUUUGCUAAAAAUUAUUGGCUUAAAUCUGUGUAAAGAAAAUCUGUCUUUUUAUUGUUUCUUGUCUGUUUUUGCAGUCUUACAAAAAAAAUGUUGACUAAGGAAUUCUGAGACAUGCUGGCUUGGAGUUUGUGUAUGAGGUGGAGUCGGGCAGGGAGAAGGUGCAGGUGGAUCUCAAGGGUGUGUGCUGUGUUUGUUUUGCAGUGUUUUAUUGUCCACUUUGGAGAGGAGAUUUCUCAUCAAAAGUCCGUGGUGUGUGUGCGUGCCCGUGUGUGGUGGGACCUCUUCAACCUGAUUUUGGCGUCUCACCCUCCCUCCUCCUGUAAUUGACAUGCCUGCUGUCAGGAACUCUUGAGGUCCUCGGAGAGCAGUUAGGGACCGCAGGCUGCCGCGGGGCAGGGGUGCGGUGGGUGUUACCAGGCAAAGCACUGCGCGCUUCUUCCCCAGGAGGUGGGCAGGCAGCUGAGAGCUUGGAAGCAGAGGCUUUGAGACCCUAGCAGGACAAUUGGGAGUCCCAGGAUUCAAGGUGGAAGAUGCGUUUCUGGUCCCUUGGGAGAGGACUGUGACCCGAGUGGUGGUUACUGUAGUGUUUGUUGCCUUGCUGCCUUUGCACUCGGUCCAUUUUCUCAGCACUCAAUGCUCCUGUGCGGAUUGGCACUCGGUCUGUGUGAAUGCCUGUGCUUAAAACCAGGAGCGGGGCUGUCCUUGCCACGUGCCAAGACUAGCUCAGAAAAGCCGGCAGGCCAGAAGGACCCACCCUGAGGUGCCAAGGAGCAGGUGACUCUCCCAACUGGACCCAGAACCUUCACGGCCAGAAAGUAGAGUCUGCGCUGUGACCUUCUGUUGGGUGCGUGUCUGUUGGUCAGAAGUGAAGCAGCGUGCGUGGGGCCGAGUCCCACCAGAAGGCAGGUGGCCUCCGUGAGCUGGUGCUGCCCCAGGCUCCAUGCUGCAGUGCCCUGAGGUUCCCAGGAUGCCUUCUCGCCUCUCACUCCGCAGCACUUGGGCGGUAGCCAGUGGCCAUGUGGUCCCAACCGCGAUGCGCAGGGCAGUCUGUGUUCGUGGGCACUUCGGCUGGACCCCAUCACGAUGGACGAUGUUCCCUUUGGACUCUAGGGCUCCGAAGGUGUGCACCUUGGUUCUCCCUUCUCCAACCCAGAGUUCCCCAGAUGACAUAACUGGCUGGCAUCCCAGAACACAGUUGUUCACCCCCCCCCCCAGCUGGCUGGCCGUCUGCCUGAGCCCAUGGAUGCUUUCUCAAUCCUAGGCUGGUUACUGUGUAAGCGUUAUGGAGUACGGGGCCUUGAGCGGGUGGGAGCUGUGUGUUGAAGUACAGAGGGAGGUCGGGGUGGGUCAGAGCCGAGUUAAGAGAUUUUCUUUGUUGCUGGACCCCUUCUUGAAGGUAGACGUCCCCCACCCGGAGAGACGUCGCGCUGUGGCCUGAAGUGGCGCAAGCUUGCUUUGUAAAUAUCUGUGGUCCCGAUGUAGUGCCCAGAACGUUUGUGCGAGGCAGCUCUGCGCCCGGGUUCCAGCCCGAGCCUCGCCAGGUCGCGUCUUCGGAGUGCUUGUGACAGUCCUUGCCCAGUAUCUAGUCCCCGUCGCCCUGUGCAGGAGACGUAGGUAGGACGUCGUGUCAGCUGUGCACUGGCGGCCAGUCUCCGAGCUGUGCGUUUGUAUCGCCACUGUAUUUGUGUACUUUAACAAUUGUGUAAAUAAUAAAUUCAUAAUGACUUCUA